rnacentral:rRNA from 1 species
CAGUAGCACGGGAACACGAAGGGGGCUAGCGUUGUUCGGAAUUACUGGGCGUAAAGCGCACGUAGGCGGACAUUUAAGUCAGGGGUGAAAUCCCGGGGCUCAACCCCGGAACUGCCUUUGAUACUGGGUGUCUAGAGUAUGGAAGAGGUGAGUGGAAUUCCGAGUGUAGAGGUGAAAUUCGUAGAUAUUCGGAGGAACACCAGUGGCGAAGGCGGCUCACUGGUCCAUUACUGACGCUGAGGUGCGAAAGCGUGGGGAGCAAACAGGAUUAGAUACCCGAGUAGUCCCUGUCUCUUAUACA